rnacentral:lncRNA from 1 species
UUCCAGUAAUUGUAUAAUGUACAGGCCCAGGAUUGUAACAUCACUUGUCUAAAUGUGAUACAAAUUGGACACAGUCUCCGACUCAACUUCAGUCUCAUCAAGCCAGCCUUCUUUUUCCAGUUCCCCCACAUUAACCCCUUCCAGUUCUUUCUGGUCCUCCUGGAAAUUUGCAAGAACGUGGCGUCCUGUGUGCAACAAAGGGCAACACUUGGAUGCGCAGGCUGGGACACUCGCCGUAAUUACUUCCAGGAGGGUGGAUGUGAGAAAGGAACUCAGGUGAGACCAAAGGGAACCGUUUUGCAGAGGGACCAUUCUCUGGACAGGUGGCCAAGUCUGAGCUAAGUGUUAAGUCUCACCAUUAAUGAACGUAUUGAGAAAAGGAGCCAGGAUCUUUGCUCAUUUUCCGUUUCGCGUGAAUGCUGCUCUGAUCACACCAGGUCUCCUUCGCUGGCUGGAAGAGCAGGAGGCUGAGCAAACGGGCUGAAAUGCAGUGCAGGAUGCAGUGGUGCUGGGUGUGACCAUGACAAUGUCUGCAGCUUGCCUUUAUAACAGACGGUCACGCUGCACUCGUGUACCUGUACUCCACUGAGCCCAGGAGGGGUUAGCGAUACGUUAGCACUGGAAAUUAUGUUGAAAUGUCCCGUCCUUUAGCUCAGUCUUCAAAGCAGCCUUGUGAGCUUCGAAGUGCAUGCAAUUCUUAUCCCGCUCCAUUCUUUCGCUGGUGCAGCAGCCUGCCUUGCACACACAACUAGCAGUGGGAACGGCUGGGCAUCCACAAGUCUGUCUCCCAUGGGAGUUUCUGCCACCCUGGGUAUGAUUUCCCACACUGCCCUUUUGCUCUGUGUAACAGAACAGGCAUUUGCACAGUAGUUGGCAGCUGCGUGAGAUACCUGCAUUCCAUUCCAGAAUGACUGAGUUCAAGUCCCCAAUCUGCUCUCAUCUCCAGCUGCCUGCUAAGGUGUAUCUUAGGAGGCAGGAGGCAGAGGCUCAGGUACUUAGGUCCCUGCGACCCACAUGGGAGACCUAGGUUAAAUUCCUGGUUCCUUGCUUUGCCCUGGCCCAGUCCUGGUUGGUGUAGGCAUUUGGGUGAGUGAACCAGUGGAUGGAAGAGCCCCCCCCCCCCAAUUUCUUUAAAAAGCCUUUUGCAUCAAACCAUCCUAAGAGGAGAUCCCUGCCCUCAUGUCUCAGUGGAUGCCCUUCAGGGACGGGGGAACAUGCAGUCUGUGGUUCCUAUGAGGUCUGUGAAAUCAUUUGAUCUGGUCCCACCCAGGCAGGGCUGGAGAUUCACUAAAUCUAAAGCAGGUUGAUGAUUCUGUAUGGCCCGCACAUGCUGGCCUUUGGC